ACCAAUCACAGCAGUGUUCUACACUGGAGAGGGAGGUGGUUCAGACCAAUCACAGCAGUGUUCUACCCUGGAGAGGGAGGUGGUUCAGACCAAUCACAGCAGUGUUCUACCCUGGAGAGGGAGGUGGUUCAGACCAAUCACAGCAGUGUUCUACCCUGGAGAGGGAGGUGGUUCAGACCAAUCACAGCAGUGUUCUAUACUGGAGAGGGAGGUGGUUCAGACCAAUCACAGCAGUGUUCUAUACUGGAGAGGGAGGUGGUUCAGACCAAUCACAGCAGUGUUCUACCCUGGAGAGGGAGGUGGUUCAGACCAAUCACAGCAGUGUUCUACCCUGGAGAGGGAGGUGGUUCAGACCAAUCACAGCAGUGUUCUACCCUGGAGAGGGAGGUGGUUCAGACCAAUCACAGCAGUGUUCUACCCUGGAGAGGGAGGUGGUUCAGACCAAUCACAGCAGUGUUCUACACUGGAGAGGGAGGUGGUUCAGACCAAUCACAGCAGUGUUCUACCCUGGAGAGGGAGGUGGUUCAGACCAAUCACAGCAGUGUUCUACCCUGGAGAGGGAGGUGGUUCAGACCAAUCACAGCAGUGUUCUACCCUGGAGAGGGAGGUGGUUCAGACAAGACACUGUACUUCACAUUACAAUACCGUACAUGGAAAGAUUUAUCUGUAUUUUUAGUAAAGGGGAGCUGCUCAGUCACUCCAAGUGUGUCUUAUAUCGUUGCUUAGACCAUGGCCUUGGGGUAAGCAGUUUGUUGUUAGAUAAAGAGGUAAGUCUGUCACGAUGGUGAGUGUGUCUGAAGACCCUCCAGGGUUUGGAGGAAAGCAGAGAGAUUAGAGAGAGAGAAAAGCCUUGGACAAGAGAACAAAAGGACAGGAGAGAGAACAACCAUACAAUACAAUAGCUGACAUCAACUCACAGGGUGAAAACAAUAGAGAGAGAGAGAGAGAGAGAGAGAGAGAGAGAGAGAGAGAGAGGGAGAGGGAGAGAGAGAGGAGGACUAGAAAGAGAAAGAGGGGGAGAGGAGGAUUAGAAAGAGAGGGGGAGAGGAGGAUUAGAAAGAGAGGGGGAGAGGAGGACUAGAAAGAUAGAGAGGGGGAGAGGAGGACUAGAAAGAUAGAGAGGGGGAGAGGAGGACUAGAAAGAUAGAGAGGGGGAGAGGAGGACUAGAAAGAGAAAGAGGGGGAGAGGAGGAUUAGAAAGAGAGGGGGAGAGGAGGAUUAGAAAGAGAAAGGGAAAGAGAGGGGGAGAGGAGGACUAGAAAGAUAGAGAGGGGGAGAGGAGGACUAGAAAGAUAGAGAGGGGGAGAGGAGGACUAGAAAGAGAAAGAGGGGGAGAGGAGGAUUAGAAAGAGAGGGGGAGAGGAGGAUUAGAAAGAGAAAGGGAAAGAGAGGGGGAGAGGAGGACUAGAAAGAGAAAGAGAGGGGGAGAGGAGGACUAGAAAGAUAGAGAGGGGGAGAGGAGGACUAGAAAGAUAGAGAGGGGGAGAGGAGGACUAGAAAGAGAAAGAGGGGGAGAGGAGGAUUAGAAAGAGAGGGAGAGGAGGAUUAGAAAGAGAAAGGGAAAGAGAGGGGGAGAGGAGGACUAGAAAGAGAAAGAGAGGGUGAGAGGAGGACUAGAAAGAGAAAGACAGGGGGAGAGGAGGACUAGAAAGAGAAAGAGAGGGGGAGCGGAGGACUAGAAAGAGAAAGAGAGGGGGAGAGGAGGACUAGAAAGAGAAAGAGAGGGGGAGCGGAGGACUAGAAAGAGAAAGAGAGGGGGAGAGGAGGACUAGAAAGAGAAAGAGAGGGGGAGCGGAGGAUUAGAAAGAGAAAGGGAAAGAGAGGGGGAGAGGAGGACUAGAAAGAGAAAGAGAGGGGGAGAGGAGGACUAGAAAGAGAAAGACAGGGGGAGAGGAGGACUAGAAAGAGAAAGAGAGGGGGAGCGGAGGACUAGAAAGAGAAAGAGAGGGGGAGAGGAGGACUAGAAAGAGAGGGGGAGCGGAGGACUAGAAAGAGAAAGAGAGGGGGAGAGGAGGACUAGAAAGAGAAAGAGAGGGGGAGCGGAGGAUUAGAAAGAGAAAGGGAAAGAGAGGGGGAGAGGAGGAUUAGAAAGAGAAAGGGAAAGAGAGGGGGAGAGGAGGACUAGAAAGAGAAAGAGAGGGGGAGAGGAGGACUAGAAAGAGAAAGACAGGGGGAGAGGAGGACUAGAAAGAGAAAGAGAGGGGGAGCGGAGGACUAGAAAGAGAAAGACAGGGGGAGAGGAGGACUAGAAAGAGAAAGAGAGGGGGAGCGGAGGAAGAGAAAGAGAAAGAGAGGGGGAGCGGAGGAUUAGAAAGAGAAAGAGAGGGGGAGAGGAGUAAUAGAAAGAGAUAGAGAGGGGGAGAGGAGGACUAGAAAGAGAAAGAGAGGGGGAGCGGAGGAUUAGAAAGAGAAAGAGAGGGGGAGCGGAGGACUAGAAAGAGAAAGAGAGGGGGAGAGGAGGACUAGAAAGAGA